rnacentral:tRNA from 1 species
GCCCUCGUAGCUCAGCGGAGCAGAGCGCCAGGUUCCGAGCCUGGAAGUCGCUGGUUCGAUUCCAGCCGGGGGUA